GGCCCGCUGGCCAAAUGGUAAGGCGUCAGAUUUCGGUUAGAGAGAUAACCUCUGAAGAUUGCGUGUUCGAGUCGCGCGUGGGUCG